AGCUCAACUGCUCAAACUAUAUAAACUAGGCCUGUGCAGUGAAAACUGAGCAGUGUCAAGCAGCAGGGGGAGCAAGAUGGAGUUCCAGACCCAGGUACUCAUGUCCCUGCUGCUCUGGGUAUCUGGUGCACAUGCAGACAUUAUGAUGACUCAGUCUCCAACUUCCCUUGCUGUGACAGCAGGUGAGAAGGUCACCAUCAGCUGCAGAGCCAGUGAGAGCCUUUAUUCAAGCACAUAUAAGGCGAACUACUUGUCUUGGUACCAGAAGAAACCAGGGCAGUCUCCUAAACUGCUGAUCUACUAUGCGUCCAGUCGGCACACUGGAGUCCCUGAUCGCUUCACAGGCAGUGGAUCUGGGACAGACUUCACUCUCACCAUCAGCAGUGUGCAGGCUGAAGACCUGGCAGAUUAUUACUGUGCACAGCAUUAUGGCAGCUAUACUCCCACAGUGCUUCAGCCUCUUACACAAACCUCCUUGAGAGUCUUACCAGCUGCCUAGACAACACAAAGCCCUGGUCUUGCCCACUUCCCCCUUCUGCUUGAGAGCUAGUGUGCCUGAAAAAUUGAUGAGCCCAGUAAAUAUGUGUUUAAUGUCUCUAUGUCUUUUCAUUUGAAAACUCUGUACGAAAAUGCAAAACAGAACUCAG